rnacentral:rRNA from 1 species
GGGGAAUAUUGCGCAAUGGGGGGAACCCUGACGCAGCCAUGCCGCGUGAAUGAAGAAGGCCUUCGGGUUGUAAAGUUCUUUCGGUAUUGAGGAAGGUUGAUGUGUUAAUAGCACAUCAAAUUGACGUUAAAUACAGAAGAAGCACCGGCUAACUCCGUGCCAGCAGCCGCGGUAAUACGGAGGGUGCGAGCGUUAAUCGGAAUAACUGGGCGUAAAGGGCACGCAGGCGGUUAUUUAAGUGAGGUGUGAAAGCCCCGGGCUUAACCUGGGAAUUGCAUUUCAGACUGGGUAACUAGAGUACUUUAGGGAGGGGUAGAAUUCCACGUGUAGCGGUGAAAUGCGUAGAGAUGUGGAGGAAUACCGAAGGCGAAGGCAGCCCCUUGGGAAUGUACUGACGCUCAUGUGCGAAAGCGUGGGGAGCAAACAGGAUUAGAUACCCUGGUAGUCCACGCUGUAAACGCUGUCGAUUUGGGGGUUGGGGUUUAACUCUGGCGCCCGUAGCUAACGUGAUAAAUCGACCGCCUGGGGAGUACGGCCGCAAGGUUA